GUUGGGCCGGCACUGUCAGACCGAGAC
rnacentral:piRNA from 1 species